CCUACGGGUGACAGCAGUGAGGAAUAUUGGUCAAUGGACGAGAGUCUGAACCAGCCAAGUAGCGUGAAGGAUGACUGCCCUAUGGGUUGUAAACUUCUUUUAUAUGGGAAUAAAAUGUUCCACGUGUGGGAUUUUGUAUGUACCAUAUGAAUAAGGAUCGGCUAACUCCGUGCCAGCAGCCGCGGUAAUACGGAGGAUCCGAGCGUUAUCCGGAUUUAUUGGGUUUAAAGGGAGCGUAGGUGGAUUGUUAAGUCAGUUGUGAAAGUUUGCGGCUCAACCGUAAAAUUGCAGUUGAAACUGGCAGUCUUGAGUACAGUAGAGGUGGGCGGAAUUCGUGGUGUAGCGGUGAAAUGCUGAGAGAUCACGAAGAACUCCGAUUGCGAAGGCAGUUCACUGGACUGCAACUGACACUGAGGCUCGAAAGUGUGGGUAUCAAACAGGAUUAGAUACCCUGGUAGUC
rnacentral:rRNA from 1 species